rnacentral:rRNA from 1 species
CCCUUAGAUGUUCUGGGCUGCACGCGCGCUACACUGAUGCGUUCAACGAGUGUACAACCUUGCCCGAUAGGGUUGGGUAACCUUUUGAACACGCAUCGUGAUGGGGAUUGAGUAUUGCAAUUAUUACUCAUCAACGAGGAAUUCCUAGUAAUGAUGAAUCAUCAGUUCAUCGUGAUUACGUCCCUGCCCUUUGUACACACCGCCCGUCGCUCCUACCGAUUGAGCAAUCCGGUGAAUAUUUCGGACCUAUGGCUGUCGGGGCAACUCGUUCGGUCGUGGGAAAGUCAAGUUAACCUUAUUGCUUAGAGGAAGGAGAANUCGUANCA